rnacentral:rRNA from 1 species
GGGGGGGGGGGGGGGGGGGGCUGGUGCGGGGGCGUGGGGCGGACGUACGGGCCGCUUGCUUCUCUUCUGUUCGCGGCGUACGGUUGGGUACCACGUGGCUACCCUGCCUGUCAGACUUUGGUAACUUCGGGCGACCGGCACUCAUCCCGUGUCAUCUUUUGAACCGCAUUGUUCACACGUCAAAGACUGUCUUGCUGUCCCUUGUAGCUUGAUCCGCGCUGCAUUAGCUAGUUGGUAAGGUAACGGCUUACCAAGGCAACGAUGCAUAGCCGACCUGAGAGGGUGAUCGGCCACACUGGAACUGAGACACGGUCCAGACUCCUACGGGAGGCAGCAGUAGGGAAUCUUCCGCAAUGGGCGAAAGCCUGACGGAGCAACGCCGCGUGAGUGAUGAAGGUCUUCGGAUCGUAAAACUCUGUUAUUAGGGAAGAACAUAUGUGUAAGUAACUGUGCACAUCUUGACGGUACCUAAUCAGAAAGCCACGGCUAACUACGUG